AUUAUUUACUUCACCGGCGAUAUCCCCGCUCAUAAUAUAUGGAACCAGACGAGAGUAGAUCAGUUGGCGAGAAUCCGGGUAUUUCAAUCAGCAUUAGAGCGCUACCUACCGGAUAAACCUGUCUAUUUUGCUGCUGGUAAUCACGAGAGUUCUCCGUGUAAUAUAUAUGCUCCACCUUUUGUUACUGGGAAUUUAUCACAAGAUUGGCUGUACGGAGCUUUCGCGGAAGUCUGGACAAAAUGGAUGCCCAUGGAUACUAUAGACACCAUCUUAAGGGGCGGAUUUUAUUCAGUUUCACCAUUACCUGGUUUAAGAAUUAUUUCCAUCAAUUCAAAUCUAGGUACGACAGAUAACUGGUGGUUAUUAGUCAACAAUACAGAUCCAGCAGAUCAGUUACAAUGGUUGGCUGAUGAAUUACAGGAAGCAGAGAAUAACAAUGAAAAAGUUCACAUAUUGAUGCAUCAUCCGACUGCAAGUACUGGUAUUAAACCAUGGAACUUGAAUUUCUUUAAAAUUGUCAACAGAUACGAAGGUAUAAUACAGGCCCAUUUUAACGGCCAUAGUCAUGAUGAUUUCUUCACUGUAUUUUAUGAUGAAGUCAAUUUUACUCGACCAAUCAGUACAGGGUUUGUUGCCGGAAGUGGUACUACAUACAGUAAUUUAAACCCAGGAUUUAGAAUUUAUACCAUUGAUGGUAAUUAUACAGGAAGUUCCUGGGCUAUAUUAGAUUUUGAGAAUUAUGUGGCUGAUAUCAGUGAAUUAACGGUCAAGACCACACCAGUGUGGAUGAAAGAAUAUUCAGCCAAGGAUGACUAUAACAUGGGAAGUUUAUAUCCAUCUGACUGGAAUGAUCUAAUCUAUAGAAUGAAAGAUGAUGACGCGCUCUUCCAGAAGUUCGAUAAAUACCGGUACAAGUUGGCUGCCAAUGGACCAUGUAAAGGAAGUUGUAAAACUAGUUCAUUAUGUUCGUUAAAAACAGCACAAAUAGGACAUCCAGAUUUAUGUAAAGAUCUUCAAUAGUAAUAUAAUUAUUAUUUUUUAAAUUUAUAGUUGAUUACCGCCAUUUUUCCAUUUGUAUGUGUGUAUUACUUAUUGUAAAUAUUUUGUGUCACACCGGUCACUCCGCAACCAUGAACAUAUGUCAACUCGAUUUAUGUAAAGAUGUUGAAUAGUAAAAUAAGUAAAAGUCGUUGAUUACCAUCAUUGUUUCAUGUAUAUACGUGUAUUGCUGAUUGUUAUAAGUUAUCACAUUGUCAAUCGUAGGCUAAACUGACUGUCUAUAGUUAGCACCACAUGAGAACAGAGACGAAGCUAACUGACUGAUAUUUUAAGUUCAAAAUCGAUGAUUGAUUUUAGUCGAUAACACCAAGUAUACUUCGAGAAUUUUGAGAAGCAUAAAUUAUUUUUAUAUUUAAUCAAAACGAAAAUGUUUAUUUAGACUUCGUGUGUGUGACAGGUAUAGAACGGGUUAGAGUCAUAUUACAAACUAGUAUAUAAAAUUUUGAAUAUGGCCAUAAUUCAGGGCAGAUAUUUAUUCUCAGAGUUACCUGUGUGUCAAAUGUCCUUUUAUGUUACUCCACAACAACGCAAAUAAGAGUCCAACUCACCAAAAAGAGGAAAUACAUGUAUCCCCAACGGUGCGUAAAAUAGUAAAAGGGGCAAAGGAUUUUAUCUGCCGCGUACUCGUCUUGCAUGACACGCAUCCUGACUACGGACAGAUUGAACCUAGCAAAUUUCUAGUUUACUAACAGGAUUGAAAUGUAUCUAAAAUAAUGUGACCACUGUACAGAAUAAACCAGUCCAGUGUUUAAAUAUUAUUCCUAUUUAUUUGUAUAUAAUAAAUCAGAUCUUAUUAAAUUA